AGGGCUCUGGCAGUAGCGGAGGAAGCGGGGUCCUUGUCUCCUCCUGAGCGAGGGGAGCCUCUGGAGUGAGGUUCUGUCUGCGUGGAGACCAGAAGGAUGGAGGACGUUCCAGACCGGGCUUCCGGGAAGGCCAGAAGCAGAGCUGAGACACUAGCAGGAAAGCGCGUCGCCUGCCGCAGGAGGGCCAGGUGGACAGAAUCAGGGAAGCCACCACCCGCACAGUCACCUACAGAGAUCACCCGGAGUAGAACGUGGCCACCAGCGUCUGCGUGGGAGCCUGCGGUCAAAAUGCGAGGGAUGGAGUUAAAAGCUCUUUACUAAACCAAGCACACAGACAAGCAGAACUACAGGACCCAUCCCCAGGAAGUGGAGAUCCACUGUGAUGUUCUGGAGAAGAAAAAGAGAGACAAAUGCCCUGGACAUCAAAGAGCCCGCUCAGUGCACAGCCUUCUUGCCCUGCUCCUCCUCUACCUCCCUCUAAAAGACUGCUGGACUCUUCAGCUCCUCAAGAUGGAGCUUGAGGACAAUACUCCUCUCCAUCUUCCAGGGUGCUGGAUGUUAAAUAAGCCUCAUUCCUCCUAAACAACCCUUGCCCCCAGAUAUUGGCCUUUGAGUGGUGAGCAGCCCAAAUCUUAUUCACAUAAAAUUAUUUGGCUGGAUUUUCUAACACUAUAAUUUCAAUUUGUUCUCAUUUUCAUAAAGUCCUUUGGCCUUUAAUAACAUCUUCUCGUUUUGUGA